rnacentral:rRNA from 1 species
AACGAACGCUGGCGGCAGGCCUAACACAUGCAAGUCGAACGCUCCGCAAGGGGGAGUGGCGCACGGGUGAGUAACACGUGGGAACCUACCUUCUGGUACGGAACAACCAAGGGAAACUUUUGGCUAAGACCGUAUACGACCUCCGGGUGAAAGAUUGAUCGCCGGAAGAGGGGCCCGCGUCCGAUUAGGUAGUUGGUGAGGUAACGGCUCACCAAAGCCUUCGAUCGGUAGCUGGUCUGAGAGGAUGACCACGCCACACUGGGGACUGAGACACGGCCCAGACUCCUACGGGAGGCAGCAGU